UACGGGGGGGGCAAGCGUUGUUCGGAAUUACUGGGCGUCAAGGGUUCGUAGGUGGCUUGUUAAGUCAGACGUGAAAUCCCUCGGCUCAACCGGGGAACUGCGUCUGAGACUGAUGAGCUCGAGUGCAGGAGAGGAACGCGGAAUUCCAGGUGUAGCGGUGAAAUGCGUAGAUAUCUGGAGGAACACCGGUGGCGAAGGCGGCGUUCUGGACUGCAACUGACACUGAGGGACGAAAGCCAGGGGAGCAAACGGG
rnacentral:rRNA from 1 species